rnacentral:rRNA from 1 species
CUGCUCAGGACGAACGCUGGCGGCGUGCCUAAUACAUGCAAGUCGAGCGGACAGAAGGGAGCUUGCUCCCGGAUGUUAGCGGCGGACGGGUGAGUAACACGUGGGCAAACCUGCCUGUAAGACUGGGAUAACUCCGGGAAACCGGAGCUAAUACCGGAUAGUUCCUUGAACCGCAUGGUUCAAGGAUGAAAGACGGUUUCGGCUGUCACUUACAGAUGGACCCGCGGCGCAUUAGCUAGUUGGUGGGGUAAUGGCUCACCAAGGCGACGAUGCGUAGCCGACCUGAGAGGGUGAUCGGCCACACUGGGACUGAGACACGGCCCAGACUCCUACGGGAGGCAGCAGUAGGGAAUCUUCCGCAAUGGACGAAAGUCUGACGGAGCAACGCCGCGUGAGUGAUGAAGGUUUUCGGAUCGUAAAGCUCUGUUGUUAGGGAAGAACAAGUGCGAGAGUAACUGCUCGCACCUUGACGGUACCUAACCAGAAAGCCACGGCUAACUACGUGCCAGCAGCCGCGGUAAUACGUAGGUGGCAAGCGUUGUCCGGAAUUAUUGGGCGUAAAGGGCUCGCAGGCGGUUUCUUAAGUCUGAUGUGAAAGCCCCCGGCUCAACCGGGGAGGGUCAUUGGAAACUGGGAAACUUGAGUGCAGAAGAGGAGAGUGGAAUUCCACGUGUAGCGGUGAAAUGCGUAGAGAUGUGGAGGAACACCAGUGGCGAAGGCGACUCUCUGGUCUGUAACUGACGCUGAGGAGCGAAAGCGUGGGGAGCGAACAGGAUUAGAUACCCUGGUAGUCCACGCCGUAAACGAUGAGUGCUAAGUGUUAGGGGGUUUCCGCCCCUUAGUGCUGCAGCUAACGCAUUAAGCACUCCGCCUGGGGACGUACUUUUUUUUAGUCUGAUAACUCAAAGGAAUUGACGGGGGCCCGCACAAGCGGUGGAGCAUGUGGUUUAAUUCGAAGCAACGCGAAGAACCUUACCAGGUCUUGACAUCCUCUGACAACCCUAGAGAUAGGGCUUUCCCUUCGGGGACAGAGUGACAGGUGGUGCAUGGUUGUCGUCAGCUCGUGUCGUGAGAUGUUGGGUUAAGUCCCGCAACGAGCGCAACCCUUGAUCUUAGUUGCCAGCAUUCAGUUGGGCACUCUAAGGUGACUGCCGGUGACAAACCGGAGGAAGGUGGGGAUGACGUCAAAUCAUCAUGCCCCUUAUGACCUGGGCUACACACGUGCUACAAUGGACAGAACAAAGGGCUGCAAGACCGCAAGGUUUAGCCAAUCCCAUAAAUCUGUUCUCAGUUCGGAUCGCAGUCUGCAACUCGACUGCGUGAAGCUGGAAUCGCUAGUAAUCGCGGAUCAGCAUGCCGCGGUGAAUACGUUCCCGGGCCUUGUACACACCGCCCGUCACACCACGAGAGUUUGCAACACCCGAAGUCGGUGAGGUAACCUUUAUGGAGCCAGCCGCCGAAGGUGGGGCAGAUGAUUGGGGUGAAGUCGUAACAGGGGUAGCCCGUA